CGAACGCUGGCGGCGUGCCUAAUACAUGCAAGUCGAACGGUCUUUCUAUGGAAGUUUGCUUCACUGAGAAGAUAGUGGCGGACGGGUGAGUAACACGUGGGUAACCUGCCCAUAAGAGGGGGGAUAACAUCCGGAAACGGGUGCUAAUACCGCAUAGUUUUCUUGAUCGCAUGAUCGGGAAAGGAAAGACGGCCUUUGUGCUGUCGCUUAUGGAUGGACCCGCGGCGUAUUAGUUAGUUGGUGAGGUAACGGCUCACCAAGACGAUGAUACGUAGCCGACCUGAGAGGGUGAUCGGCCACAUUGGGACUGAGACACGGCCCAAACUCCUACGGGAGGCAGCAGUAGGGAAUCUUCCGCAAUGGACGAAAGUCUGACGGAGCAACGCCGCGUGAGUGAAGAAAGGUUUUCGGAUCGUAAAACUCUGUUGUCAGAGAAGAACAAGUUGGAGAGUAACUGCUCCAGCCUUGACGGUAUCUGACCAGAAAGCCACGGCUAACUACGUGCCAGCCGCGGC
rnacentral:rRNA from 1 species